CCUACGGGUGUCAGCAGUGAGGAAUAUUGGUCAAUGGGAGAGAUCCUGAACCAGCCAAGCCGCGUGAGGGAAGACGGCCCUAUGGGUUGUAAACCUCUUUUGUCGGAGAACAACACCCUGGACGUGUCCCGGACUGCGUGUAUCCGCAGAACAAGCAUCGGCUAACUCCGUGCCAGCAGCCGCGGUAAUACGGAGGAUGCGAGCGUUAUCCGGAUUUAUUGGGUUUAAAGGGUGCGUAGGUGGUUAAUUAAGUCAGCGGUGAAAGUUUGUGGCUCAACCAUAAAAUUGCCGUUGAAACUGGUUGACUUGAGGAUAUUUGAGGUAGGCGGAAUGCGUGGUGUAGCGGUGAAAUGCAUAGAUAUCACGCAGAACUCCGAUUGCGAAGGCAGCUUACUAAACUAUAACUGACACUGAAGCACGAAAGCGUGGGGAUCAAACAGGAUUAGAUACCCCAGUAGUC
rnacentral:rRNA from 1 species